rnacentral:rRNA from 1 species
GACGUAGGGGGCAAGCGUUGUCCGGAAUCAUUGGGCGUAAAGAGCGUGUAGGCGGCUCGAUAAGUCUGCUGUGAAAGUCCAGGGCUCAACCCUGGAAGGCCGGUGGAAACUGUCGGGCUAGAGUCCGGAAGAGGCGAGUGGAAUUCCCGGUGUAGCGGUGAAAUGCGCAGAUAUCUGGAGGAACACCGGUGGCGAAGGCAGAUCGCUGGGCCGUAACUGACGCUGAGGAGCGAAAGCAUGGGGAGCGAACAGG